rnacentral:rRNA from 1 species
CCUACGGGUUGCACCAGUGGGGAAUUUUGGACAAUGGGCGAAAGCCUGAUCCAGCAAUGCCGCGUGCAGGAUGAAGGCCCUCGGGUUGUAAACUGCUUUUGUACGGAACGAAAAGCCUGGGGCUAAUAUCCUCGGGUCAUGACGGUACCGUAAGAAUAAGCACCGGCUAACUACGUGCCAGCAGCCGCGGUAAUACGUAGGGUGCAAGCGUUAAUCGGAAUUACUGGGCGUAAAGCGCGCGCAGGCGGUUUUGUAAGACAGUGGUGAAAUCCCCGGGCUCAACCUGGGAACUGCCAUUGUGACUGCAAGGCUAGAGUGCGGCAGAGGGGGAUGGAAUUCCGCGUGUAGCAGUGAAAUGCGUAGAUAUGCGGAGGAACACCGAUGGCGAAGGCAAUCCCCUGGGCCUGCAC